CCAGACUUCUGAUUGUGAAUGUCGCACAGUCCAAAUAAAAAAUUCCACCUCGUAUCUCAAGAUUUUGCAACAAAAAUAUCAUUUUUAGAUAUGAUGAUACAAAUACGUGUAUCUUGUUUUACAAUCCUACUUUAUAUUAAUAAUUGCAAAUGUACCUGUGGCUAAAAAGCAAAGCACGACAAGUCUGUUGCCGCAAUACACGUGUCGUCAAUGAAUGAGGCGAUCAUUGCCAAAAAUCACUCAAAUAUUCACGCUGAUUUGUUAAUUUCUUGUCCAUUUCCUCUUCCUGAUUCACAGUAAUCAGUUUUCUCGUUGACAAUCGCGCCAUGUUGUUUAAAAAAAACAAAAUGCCACUUCGAUAAGAACACCAGGGGUUGCAGUUGACCCAUUGCAGCUCGCUGGUUGGGUGCACAAAGGUCAAGCGCCUAGUGUGCGGGCCAGUCGUAGUCAAAGAGCCCAGUCAUAUUGCUCUGAUGUCAUCCCAUAAGGGGCGUGCUUGCACAGUAUGUUACACUGUGUUGCAUUACUAGUUGCCAAAUGUCGUUGCAUCUCUCAGCAUUCACACAAUUUGUAAGGUAAUGGCAAUUUCUGAGGAUGUAAUUGAAUAUCAAUGAUGUGGGUCUAUGGAGUAGAUUUUUGUGUAUUAUAGCUACCUUGAUGGAACACCUCUGACUGUGUGCCUUUUGCACUUAUGCUAGAUUAAUUCAUCUGAAUGCUCAUCGACAAUGAUUGGCAAAACUGUUGUGUUGCACUGCAGUUAGUUUUGUAACCGCUUUGAUAAAAUAUUCUCAAAUGGCAGCAUUGAUGUCAAAUUUUGAGCACUACAAGUGCAAGUGCGUAAUAUCCCAGCUUAUCUCUUUGGAUGUAAGACGUUGCAAAGGACGUCUGACAAGGUUUGGAACAUCUCGCUGCAUCUGCUCAGACUGUAAAUAUUCAAACCCGGUUGAGAGUCGGGUAAGUCAAGAUGUAAAUGUGCACUAGAUGGCCUCGAUGGCCACAAUACCUCACUCCCAGCUUUUUGCGCGGGGUACUCUGAGAGACAUUAAGGUUCCUCUUAAAACAAAUAUUGGAUACACAAAAAAACUCACACAAUCGCCAUAUAAAAAUCAAUCAAAGUGAAUGACAGUUAUAUAUUUUUUUCCCAGAGUCAGUCAUGAGUAGGCUCAUUCAAGUCCUUAAUUGCGACACUGGAGAAGCUUUUCCCUCCGCAGCGAGCUGCAUAGCCAGCGUAUUGUAGGUCCCCCAACUGAGGCAUUUCUGCAUUGAGAUGCAGUGAGGCUCUUUACCUCCAGGAAGCAAUGUAGGAUAGCACCUUAUAGAUCUUUGAUAUUGAAUGUACCUGUAUUUUCCAAGCUGUUAACAUUUGUAAGUAGGAACAGCGUUUCUCUUUGAGAUGUAAAGUGCACUUUUUUUCUGCUUUUACCUCCAAAUCCCAAAAAGUCAUGGAAAGCCAAUAAGUAAUUGACCUUUUGUGUUGUUGUCUUGAAUCAAACAUAUGAUUUCAAGACAAACCGGGAUCAGACGUCAUAUUCGCAAUGGAGUGGGAACUCUUGUCAUCUGCCCAAUUUAGCCAUUAGACUUUUUGAUCAUAUAUUGACCCCCACUACAAUACGCUUCUGUUAUACAGUUAUGUAAAAUGUUUUUCAAUGAAAAAAAAAGCUGUGUUCACAUGACUGUCAUUUGAGAGCAAUUCCUGCAACUUAAGUGACAUUAAGCGUUUUAAGAAAGUUUCUCAUGUGAUUUACUUUGUAUUUUGCAAACAUGAUGUUGCUUUUGUAGUUUUCUUCAGCCUGGUUAGCCUCAAAUUGGUCAUCAACUGUUAUAGAAAGUGGCAUGUAUGUCUGUAAAUAUUUUUUGUGAAUGUACUAUAAAAUGUCUGUCAAUGAUGUAGAUGUCUAUUCAUUUUUUUUUUUUUAAGAAAAAAAUAUUUCCCUGAGCAGGUGUUGCACAUUUUGUUGCUUUUCACAUUAUGCUGUUAUAAAUUAUUGCUGAUGAAUUGAAAAAUAAAUAUCAAAACUCAA